rnacentral:rRNA from 1 species
UACGGGGGGAGCAAGCGUUGUUCGGAUUUACUGGGCGUAAAGGGCGCGUAGGCGGCCACCGCAAGUCGAUUGUGAAAUCUCCGGGCUUAACCCGGAAAGGUCAACCGAUACUGCGGGGCUAGAGUGGCGGAAGGGGCAACUGGAAUUCUUGGUGUAGCGGUGAAAUGCGUAGAUAAUCAAGAGGAACACCUGCGGCGAAGGCGGGUUGCUGGGCCGACACGUGACGCUGGAUGCGCGAAAGCUAGGGGAGCGAACGGG